GGGGACCUUUCCCGCGGGAUUCGGCAAGCGCGGCCGCGGAGACCCGGGGGUGGAGGACGUCUUUCGCCCUCAGGGCAGCCCGGAUGACAGCUAAUGCGCCUGGGCAAGGCGUUCUCAACUGCGAUUCCCGGCCUUAAAUGUCCUCUCAACUUUUAAAAGUUAUUUAUUCAAAGUGCAUUUGCUGACUAAACCUUCACUGAGCGCCUUCCUAGAGAGUCUCACUCUAUCACCCAGGCUAGAGUGCAGUUGUGUGAUCACCCAACAGUCCCCACAGUUCUUCUGGGCUCAGGUGAUUCUCCCACUUCAGCCUCCCAAGUAGCUGGGACUACAGACCAUUGGUUCUGGGAAGCCAGCUGCCAUAUGGUGAAGACCCUCAAACAGCCCAGGGCAGAGGCCAAUGUGCCAACAACCAAGUGAGUGAGCAAUCUUAGAAGUGGAUCCUGCAGCCCCAGGAAAGCUUUGGAUAACUGCAACCCUAAUUGAUGUCAUGAAAGACCUUAAACCAAAAUCGAUCAGCAAAGCCACUCCCGAAUUCCUGACCCACAGAACCUGUGAGAUAAUAAAUAUUCGUUAGGCCAGGCCCUGUGGCUCACGCCUAUAAUCCCAACACUUUGGGAGGCCUAGGUGGGUGGAUCACCUGAGCUCAGGAGUUCGAGACCAGCCUGACCUACAUGGAGAAACCCCGUCUCUACUAAAAAUAUAAAAAACAAUUAGCCGGGCAAUUAGCCUGUAAUCCCAGUUACUUGGGAGGCUGAGGCAGGAGAAUCGCUUGAACCUCAGAGGCGGAGGUUGUGGUGAGCCGAGAUCACACCAUUGCACUCCAGCCUGGGCAACAAGAGUAAAACUCCAUCUCAAAAAAAUAAAAAAAUAAAUACUUGUUGCUUCAA